AGUGAACGCUGGCGGUAGGCCUAACACAUGCAAGUCGAACGGCAGCACAGUAAGAGCUUGCUCUUACGGGUGGCGAGUGGCGGACGGGUGAGGAAUACAUCGGAAUCUACUUUUUCGUGGGGGAUAACGUAGGGAAACUUACGCUAAUACCGCAUACGACCUACGGGUGAAAGCAGGGGAUCUUCGGACCUUGCGCGAUUGAAUGAGCCGAUGUCGGAUUAGCUAGUUGGCGGGGUAAAGGCCCACCAAGGCGACGAUCCGUAGCUGGUCUGAGAGGAUGAUCAGCCACACUGGAACUGAGACACGGACCAGAGUCCUACGGGAGGCAGCAGUGGGGAAUAUUGGACAAUGGGCGCAAGCCUGAUCCAGCCAUACCGCGUGGGUGAAGAAGGCCUUCGGGUUGUAAAGCCCUUUUGUUGGGAAAGAAAAGCAGCAGGUUAAUACCCCGCUGUUCUGACGGUACCCAAAGAAUAAGCACCGGCUAACUUCGUG
rnacentral:rRNA from 1 species